rnacentral:rRNA from 1 species
GCAUAUCCUAUUAAAGCGGAGGAAAAAGAAAACCAACAGGGGAUUGCCCCAGUAACGGCGAGUGAAGCGGCAACAGCUCAAAUUUGAAAUCUGGCUCUCGGGCCCGAGUUGUAAUUUGUAGAGGAUGCUUUUGGUGAGGUGCCUUCCGAGUUCCCUGGAACGGGACGCCAUAGAGGGUGAGAGCCCCGUCUGGUUGGACACCGAUCCUCUGUAAAGCUCCUUCGACGAGUCGAGUAGUUUGGGAAUGCUGCUCUAAAUGGGAGGUAUAUGUCUUCUAAAGCUAAAUACCGGCCAGAGACCGAUAGCGCACAAGUAGAGUGAUCGAAAGAUGAAAAGAACUUUGAAAAGAGAGUUAAAAAGUACGUGAAAUUGUUGAAAGGGAAGCGCUUGUGACCAGACUUGGGCUUGGUUGAUCAUCCGGGGUUCUCCCCGGUGCACUCUUCCGGCUCAGGCCAGCAUCAGUUCGCCCUGGGGGAUAAAGGCUUCGGGAAUGUGGCUCUCUCCGGGGAGUGUUAUAGCCCGCUGCGUAAUACCCUGUGGCGGACUGAGGUUCGCGCAUUCGCAAGGAUGCUGGCGUAAUGGUCAUCAGUGACCCGUCUUGAAACACGGACCAAGGAGUCGUCUUCGUAUGCGAGUGUUCGGGUGUCAAACCCCUACGCGAAAUGAAAGUGAACGCAGGUGAGAGCUUCGGCGCAUCAUCGACCGAUCCUGAUGUUAUCGGAUGGAUUUGAGUAAGAGCAUACGGGGCCGGACCCGAAAGAAGGUGAACUAUGCCUGUGUAGGGUGAAGCCAGAGGAAACUCUGGUGGAGGCUCGCAGCGGUUCUGACGUGCAAAUCGAUCGUCAAACAUGGGCAUGGGGGGCGAAAGACUAAUCGAACCUUUCUAGUAGCUGGUUUCCGCCGAAG